rnacentral:rRNA from 1 species
GACGAACGCUGGCGGCGUGCUUAACACAUGCCAGUCGAACGGAAAGGCCCUGCUUUUGUGGGGUGCUCGAGUGGCGAACGGGUGAGUAACACGUGAGUAACCUGCCCUUGACUUUGGGAUAACUUCAGGAAACUGGGGCUAAUACCGGAUAGGAGCUCCUGCUGCAUGGUGGGGGUUGGAACGUUUCGGCGGUUGGGGAUGGACUCGCGGGUUAUCAGCUUGUUGGUGGGGUAGUGGCUUACCAAGGCUUUGACGGGUAGCCGGCCUGGGAGGGUGACCGGCCACAUGGGGACUGAGAUACGGACCAGACUCCUACGGGGGGCAGCAGUGGGGAAUAUUGCACAAUGGGCGGAAGCCUGAUGAAGAAACGCCGCGUGCGGGAUGACGGCCUUCGGGUUGUAAACCGCUUUAGCCUGUGACGAAGCGUGAGUGACGGUAAUGGGUAAAGAAGCACCGGCUAACUACGUG